GACGAACCGUGCGAACGUUAUUCGGAAUCACUGGGCUUAAAGCGCGUGUAGGCGGGACGGCACGUCGGUCGCUGAAAUCCCCCGGCUCAACCGGGGAACGGGCACCGAUACGACCGUCCUGGAGGGACGUAGGGGGACCUGGAACUUCCGGUGGAGCGGUGAAAUGCGUUGAGAUCGGAAGGAACGCCCGUGGCGAAAGCGAGGUCCUGGACGUUUUCUGACGCUGAGACGCGAAAGCCAGGGGAGCGAACGGG
rnacentral:rRNA from 1 species